GCUGGAUUCCUCCUUCCUCUAGCUUCUGGCGGCGGUUGUUCUUCCUCCGGUGGUGAUUGUGGUUCUUCCGAUUCGGCAUCUGGUUGUCGGACUUGGGAUGAUGAUCCACCUUUAAAGAAUAGUGUAUGUGGAGGUGUUUGCAUCAUGAACGGCGACGGUGUUUGAAAGCCAUACAUUGCUGGCGAUUGGUAAAAAGGAGAGCUCCCCGAAGGCAUGUGCGAUCCCUCCUGCGCCGCUGGCCUAGAUGUCGACGGUCCGCUCGGCAUAACAGGAAAUGGAGCUGAACGGGGCAUUUGGCUCCAACCUGCC
rnacentral:lncRNA from 1 species